AGCGAACGCUGGCGGCAGGCCUAACACAUGCAAGUCGAACGAACCUUUCGGGGUUAGUGGCGGACGGGUGAGUAACACGUGGGAACGUGCCUUUAGGUUCGGAAUAACUCAGGGAAACUUGUGCUAAUACCGAAUGUGCCCUUCGGGGGAAAGAUUAAUCGCCUUUAGAGCGGCCCGCGUCUGAUUAGCUAGUUCGAUGAGGUAAUGGCUCACCAAGGCGACGAUCGGUAGCUGGUCUGAGAGAAUGAUCAGACACAUUGGGACUGUGACACGACACGAACUCCUACGGAAGGCAGCAGUGGGGGAUCUUGCGCAAUGGGCUAAAGCCUGACGCAGCCCUGCCGCGUGAAUGAUGAAGGUCUUAGGAUAGUAAAAUUCUUUCACCGGGGACGAUAAUGACGGUACCCGGUGAAGAAGCCCCGGCUAACUACGUG
rnacentral:rRNA from 1 species